rnacentral:ncRNA from 1 species
AAAGACUUAGUCCUAACCUUACUGUUGGUUGUCGCUAGGUAUAUACAUGCAAGUAUCCGCGCCCCAGUGCAAUAAGCCCUCAGUUCCUCUUAUCCAGGACAGUAGGAGCGGGCAUCAGGCUCACACCUUCCUUACUGUAGCCCAAAACGUCUUGCGCUUGCCACGCCCCCACGGGUACUCAGCAGUAAUUAGUAUUAAGCAAUGAGUGCAAACUUGACUUAGCCAUAGCGAUAAAGGGUUGGUAAAUCUUGUGCCAGCCACCGCGGUCAUACAAGAAACCCGAAUCAACUUUACCUUACAAACGGCGUAAAGAGUGGUUACAUGCUAUCAAUAAACCUAAGAUUAAAAAGCAUCUGAGCUGUCGUAAGCCCAAGAUGCCCCUAAGGCCACCACCCAAAGAAGAUCUUAGCUCAACGAUUAAUUGAAACCCACGAAAGCCAGGGCCCAAACUGGGAUUAGAUACCCCACUAUGCCUGGCCCUAAAUCUUGGUGCUCCACCCAACCUGAGCAUCCGCCCGAGAACUACGAGCACAAACGCUUGAAACUCUAAGGACUUGGCGGUGCCCCAAAUCCACCUAGAGGAGCCUGUUCUAUAAUCGAUGAUCCACGAUAUACCCAACCAUUCCUUGCAAAAACAGCCUAUAUACCGCCGUCGCCAGCUCACCCUGCUUGAAGGUCCAACAGUGAACGCAAUAGUUUUACCACACUAAAAAGACAGGUCAAGGUAUAGCCUAUGGAAUGGGAGCAAUGGGCUACAUUUUCUAUGGUAGAAAACACGGCAAAGGGGUAUGAAACUACCCCUGGAAGGAGGAUUUAGCAGUAAAGUGGGACAAUCGAGCCCUCUUUAAAUCGGCCCUGGGGCACGU